rnacentral:rRNA from 1 species
UAGGGAAUCUUCCACAAUGGACGAAAGUCUGAUGGAGCAACGCCGCGUGAGUGAAGAAGGUUUUCGGAUCGUAAAGCUCUGUUGUUGGUGAAGAAGGAUAGAGGCAGUAACUGGUCUUUAUUUGACGGUAAUCAACCAGAAAGUCACGGCUAACUACGUGCCAGCAGCCGCGGUAAUACGUAGGUGGCAAGCGUUGUCCGGAUUUAUUGGGCGUAAAGCGAGCGCAGGCGGAAUGAUAAGUCUGAUGUGAAAGCCCACGGCUCAACCGUGGAACUGCAUCGGAAACUGUCAUUCUUGAGUGCAGAAGAGGAGAGUGGAACUCCUAUGUGUAGCGGUGGAAUGCGUAGAUAUAUGGAAGAACACCAGUGGCGAAGGCGGCUCUCUGGUCUGCAACUGACGCUGAGGCUCGAAAGCAUGGGUAGCGAACAGGAUUAGAUACCCUGGUAGUCCAUGCCGUAAACGAUGAGCGCUAGGUGUUGGGGACUUUCCGGUGCCUCAGUGCCGCAGCAAACGCAUUAAGCGCUCCGCCUGGGGAGUACGACCGCAAGGUUGAAAC